AUCAAACUUGUGUUAUCUCUCUGUCUGCUGAAUUUAGUGGCAGCUAGAACCCUGGAACAGGAGGCUGAGCAAACCAUCGGCUGGGGAGUGGAGCUAUCAGAAGAGCAAAGUUUUAGUUUUGAUAACGUGGACAAGACAAUGAAUCUGAGAGAAGAAGAGGAGGA